rnacentral:misc_RNA from 1 species
GAUGAAGAACGUAGCAAAAUGCGAUAAGUAAUGUGAAUUGCAGAAUUCAGUGAAUCAUCGAAUCUUUGAACGCACAUUGCGCCCGCCAGUAUUCUGGCGGGCAUGCCUGUUCGAGCGUCAUUUCAACCCUCAAGCACAGCUUGGUGUUGGGACUCGCGUUAAUUCGCGUUCCCCAAAUUGAUUGGCGGUCACGUCGAGCUUCCAUAGCGUAGUAGUAAAACCCUCGUUACUGGUAAUCGUCGCGGCCACGCCGUUAAACCCCAACUUCUGAAUGUUGACCUCGGAUCAGGUAGGAAUAACCGCUGAACUUAAGCAUAUCAAUAAGCGGAGGA